AGUUCUCUCGCGACCUCUAGCCACUUCCGGUUGCUAACGGUUCCCAAACAGCCCCCGAAAACGCUACGUGAGCUGGGCCCUGGGCCAGAGGCAGAAAACGGACGGAAGAAAAGGUCUGGCCGGAGAUGGGUCUCACUCUGUCACCCAGACUGGAGUGCAGUGAGUGGUGCGAUCAUAGCUUACUGCAGCCUGAAACUCCUGGGCUCAAGUGAUCUUCUCGCCUCAGCCUCCUGAGUAGCUGGAGCUACAGGGCUCCUCUGCUAAUGCUUCUGGGAGACACCUUCAUACGGCCAGCGCCAGGAGGCGAGAGGAGAGGAAAGGAAGUCUUCUCUUCACGCCCUCCUGGGGCCCGUCUUGGCGUUGUGUGUGGUGGAGGGGGACGAAUCUGGGGUCCGCAGUCGCAGCCUCCUCUUGCUGCUGCCGCCUUCAUCCCCGAAAUCCUGCUCCUAACCAUCAAUAGGAACCCUGAAAAAAGUCAGAGGUGUGAAGUGCACACAUAACCCUGGGCCACAAACUCGGUCCCGGACGCCACAGGACAAUCGCUCACCAGGACCACACAUCCUGGCCGGAAGAUGGGCGGGUACCGCGGCUCCCGAUGCUUCCGGCUCCUCUAGGAAGAGGCUCUGGGUGGUGGCCUCACGCGCCCCCUCCGGGGAGGGAGCCGCCGCGGGGUUUGAGGGCGCAGUAGGCUCCCGUCCUAGCGGGUCGCAGCUCCUUACAAGAUUUUGAAAUGUUGGUGGAUUAAUCUUCUAGAAGGGUGCUAGGUCUCCCCGUUUCCCCCGCCACCAACUUUAGAGUUGUGGUGUACAAGCGCUAUCUUUUCUGAUGUUAUAUCCCAUAGGAAUAUUUUCAGUGACAUAAUCAAGUUUAAGCAUUAAGAACUAGGGCCCUGGAAUAAAAUGUGCGUUAAAAUCCUGGUUCUACCACUUACUAUGUGAUCUUUAGCAAGAUAGUUAACUUCACUACAGCUCAAUUUUCUCAUCUAUAAAAUGUGAAAAAUAAUAGUUACAAAAUGAGAUAGGACAUACUAGCACACUACCUGUAAAAAACUGUGGGCUCAACAUUACCUUAAAAAACAAUCCAAAUAUUGUGUUACUUAGAUCCCGUCAGGACAUUUUUAAAGUCAUUGAAAAUAAAUGCUA
rnacentral:lncRNA from 1 species